rnacentral:lncRNA from 10 species
UCCAGUGGAAGGAAGGCUUUCAUUCCUUCAUAAAUAUUAAUUCAAUAAUUCAAUAGAGUCUCCAUACCUGCACUGUCUUAGGUGCAGGGAGAUACCAUGAUAAAAGGGCAGACAAUGUUGCUGCCCUCAAGGAGCUGACAUUCUAGUGGAGGAAGACAGAUGCAAAAAGGAAUGUAUGCCCACAUCACACAACUAAAUUGUGGCAUGAUGGAGUUCAACAAAAUAUGGAUACAGAGAGCAAGGUUUGAGGGUAAAUUUAACCAAGGUAGGGUAAUCAGAGGAGCCUGAUCUGAAAAGGCAGGAAUUAAAAUAAGCUCUAAAGGAUUAUUAGAAACUAGGGAGAGAGGAGCUGACUGGUAGAAAUGGGGAGUGUUUCAGGGAGAGCAAAAAGCCCAUUCAAAAACCUCAUGCAAAGAAGAGUUGGGCAAUUUGAAGAAUUGAAAUGAAACUCUAGGACUGGGCACGGAGAAUGUGAAGAAGUGAGGAGGGGUUGGAGCUGGAGAGAUAGGUGGGACUGGAUCCCAUACAACUUGGAAAGAACAGAGAAAGAUCCAGUGCAAAAACUCAUAGGAAAUGAUCAAUUCAUGCCAAGUGAUGAGAACUAGAGAAGAGAGAUGAGAGCAUUGUUCAUACACGAUGGUCUAGGUCUCCUACCCCAAGAGAACUUGCAACAAAGCCCAAAGUACAACAGCCACGUUUAAAGAGAAGAUUCCAUUUCAGCCAGACAACAUGAUUCAUCAUAUUUAUUUAAUAUUGUUAAUU